GUGUCAGCCGCCGCGGUAAUACGUAGGGUCCAAGCGUUAAUCGGAAUUACUGGGCGUAAAGCGUGCGCAGGCGGUUGUGCAAGACCGAUGUGAAAUCCCCGGGCUUAACCUGGGAAUUGCAUUGGUGACUGCACGGCUAGAGUGUGUCAGAGGGGGGUAGAAUUCCACGUGUAGCAGUGAAAUGCGUAGAGAUGUGGAGGAAUACCGAUGGCGAAGGCAGCCCCCUGGGAUAACACUGACGCUCAUGCACGAAAGCGUGGGGAGCAAACAGGAUUAGAUACCCUGGUAGUCCACGCCCUAAACGAUGUCAACUAGUUGUUGGGGAUUCAUUUCCUUAGUAACGUAGCUAACGCGUGAAGUUGACCGCCUGGGGAUACGGUCGCAAGNUUAAAACUCAAAG
rnacentral:rRNA from 1 species